GUUCCGAUUUUAAUGCCAUUUUUGGAGUUUAUGUUGUGAUCUGUGCGCUCAACCCACCUUUGUCACGUGAGGUUUGAAUAUGAGCAACUUUAUGUGAGUGUCUUUAUUUGUGGAAACGGGUGUUUGUCUUACCAGUGGGUCCAACAUUACGCACACUAAAUCCAUCUGUGCUCAUAUGAGAGAGUGUGGAGGACACUUGUUGAGGAGCUGCCCUCUGUCGCCAUCUUGUGGCAUUACUGUCUUAAGACAUCUCUUGAUCUCUUUGACUACUCCAUGAAAAUAGUAAUACGCCUCGCCUGUGGCGGAUUUAAAGGCAAGGAGAGGAGCCUAUGUGAUUGGUGAAAACAGGUCUCGGCUGUGUUAAACCAACUACACGCCCUUCUCCUCCCCGUCUACGACUUAUGGUGCUGGGAGGAGCUGAGUUAGGGAGGGGGGAUACUUACGCCGGGCUGCGCGGCUCACCAAAAUACCAAAAUGUGCUUGGGAACGCCUUGUCAGCGCGGCGGAUCUGACUGACGCUGCGCUUGCGGCACGUCUCCGGCGAGGCACCAAAAUAGAGCCCUUGGGGCUCUAUUUUCGUGCGCGCCGGUGAGGCGGCGGAGGGCGGCGAGCCCCGCGCAGUUGUAUUUUCGUCUGGCGGAGCCCAGCGUAAGGCCAGUUUGGUAUUUUCGUGGCAUGAGCCGCACGGAGGCGAGCCGAGAUCCGCCAAGCUGGGCGUGGUGGCGUGGCAGGGGGAGGUUUCGACAGAAUCAGCUGGCGCAGUGACAUUUUCGUGCUCGCCAACGGCGUGUAAAGUGCGCUGAAAGCUCGCCGAUUCAAACCUGGUCAGCUUUCAGCGCAAGGCGGAACGCAGCUGGUCUUGUAGUAUUUUG